ensembl:lncRNA
GGAGAUGUGAGUCUCCAACUUCAGUGAUUUUUGCCUGUUUGUUCCAGUCAGCGGCAGCAGAGAACUGGAAGGAAAGGCGAACAAAGGAGGAAUUGGCUUUGAGAUAAAACCUGUUUGAGCGCGUGCUACGGUUGAAGAAGGCCAAGCCCUCCAAGGAGCCCAAGAAGGAGAAGACAACAGCCGGGGAUUCUGGGAAGGGAAAGGGCAAAGGCAAGGGCAAAGCCAGGAAGUGACCCCUAACCUCUCAGACAACUACCCCCCAAAAAAGCGAACUGUACAACACCUCUUCUCUGACGUUCUGAAGAACAAACCCCUAAACGGUUUGACCGCCACCUACCUGGUCUUAUCACCGUGGCGACCGGAGACAGAACCCUGGCUCUCUUCUUGGACCCCUUUAAACUUAGGAUGUGCAUCCCUUCCCUAUGAAGGGAAAACCCUAUUCCCUAUAUAGUGCACUACUUUUGACCAGAGUCCCAUAGGGCCCUGGGUAUAAAGUGGUGCACUACUUUUGACCAGAGUCCCAUAGGGCCCUGGGUAUAAAGUAGUGCACUAUGAAGGGAAUAGGGUUUUCCCUUCAUAGUGCACUACUUUAUACCCAGGGCCCUAUGGGACUGGUC